rnacentral:rRNA from 1 species
AGCAGUAGCCGCGUAAUACGAAGGGUGCAAGCGUUAAUCGGAAUUACUGGGCGUAAAGCGUGCGUAGGCGGUGAGUUAAGUCUGCUGUGAAAUCCCCGGGCUCAACCUGGGAAUGGCAGUGGAUACUGGCUCGCUAGAGUGUGUCAGAGGAUGGUGGAAUUCCCGGUGUAGCGGUGAAAUGCGUAGAGAUCGGGAGGAACAUCAGUGGCGAAGGCGGCCAUCUGGGACAACACUGACGCUGAGGCACGAAAGCGUGGGGAGCAAACAGGAUUAGAUACCCCCGUAGUCCCUGUCUCUUAUACA